rnacentral:rRNA from 1 species
AAUGAACGCUGGCGGCAUGCCUAACACAUGCAAGUCGAACGAGACCUUCGGGUCUAGUGGCGCACGGGUGCGUAACGCGUGGGAAUCUACCCUUGGGUUCGGAAUAACAGUUAGAAAUGACUGCUAAUACCGGAUGAUGACGUAAGUCCAAAGAUUUAUCGCCCAGGGAUGAGCCCGCGUAGGAUUAGCUAGUUGGUGAGGUAAAAGCUCACCAAGGCGACGAUCCUUAGCUGGUCUGAGAGGAUGAUCAGCCACACUGGGACUGAGACACGGCCCAGACUCCUACGGGAGGCAGCAGUGGGGAAUAUUGGACAAUGGGCGAAAGCCUGAUCCAGCAAUGCCGCGUGAGUGAUGAAGGCCUUAGGGUUGUAAAGCUCUUUUACCCGGGAUGAUAAUGACAGUACCGGGAGAAUAAGCUCCGGCUAACUCCGUG